AUUGAACGCUGGCGGCAGGCCUAACACAUGCGAGUCGAGCGGAUGAAGGGAGCUUGCUCCUGGAUUCAGCGGCGGACGCGUGAGUAAUGCCUAGGAAUCUGCCUGGUAGUGGGGGAUAACGUCCGGAAACGGGCGCUAAUACCGCAUACGUCCUGAGGGAGAAAGUGGGGGAUCUUCGGACCUCACGCUAUCAGAUGAGCCUAGGUCGGAUUAGCUAGUUGGUGGGGUAAAGGCCUACCAAGGCGACGAUCCGUAACUGGUCUGAGAGGAUGAUCAGUCACACUGGAACUGAGACACGGUCCAGACUCCUACGGGAGGCAGCAGUGGGGAAUAGUGGACAAUGGGCGAAAGCCUGAUCCAGCCAUGCCGCGUGUGUGAAGAAGGUCUUCGGAUUGUAAAGCACUUUAAGUUGGGAGGAAGGGCAGUAAGUUAAUACCUUGCUGUUUUGACGGUACCAACAGAAUAAGCACCGGCUAACUUCGUG
rnacentral:rRNA from 1 species